GUGUCAGCAGCCGCGGUAAUACGUAGGCAGCGAGCGUUGUUCGGAGUUACUGGGCGUAAAGGGUGUGUAGGCGGUCGUUUAAGUUUGGUGUGAAAUCUCCCGGCUCAACUGGGAGGGUGCGCCGAAUACUGAGCGGCUAGAGUGCGGGAGAGGAAAGUGGAAUUCCUGGUGUAGCGGUGAAAUGCGUAGAUAUCAGGAGGAACACCGGUGGUGUAGACGGCUUUCUGGACCGUAACUGACGCUGAGACACGAAAGCGUGGGUAGCAAACAGGAUUAGAUACCCCUGUAGUCC
rnacentral:rRNA from 1 species